UUGUUUUGAUUUUAGUUUUUUAGUUUUUUUUAUAAAUGUGUUUUGUUUUUGUUUUGUUUUCAUGAAGUUGGCUGAUUGAAUCUCUAUAGAGUGAGCAGAAUCAGACAAAGAAACCUAAAUAAUAUAAAAUCGUAUUUUAGAGGCGGAGCAUCUAAAGCAUCCCAGGAUGCGUUUCAUGAAGUUGGCUGAUUGAAUCUCUAUAGAGUGAGCAGAAUCAGACAAAGAAACCUAAAUAAUAUGAAAACGUAUUUUAGAGGCGGAGCAUCUAAAGCAUCCCAGGAUGCGUUUCAUGAAGUUGGCUGAUUGAAUCUCUAUAGAGAGAGCAGAAUCGGACAAAGAAACUUAAAAAUAAGUGUU